ensembl:lncRNA
UUCUCGCAUGGCUUUUUGAGCAUCUUUAGAACAAUUAUUUUCAAUUCCUUGUCAGGCAGUUCCUGGGUCUUCAUAUUUUGGGGGCCAGUUAUAGGGGGUUGAAUGUGUUCCUUUGGUGACGUCAUGUUGCCUUGAUUCUUUGUGAUCCCCGUAGAUUUGUGUGGCAUCUGUGCAUUUUUAUAGCUGCCCCUGCAACAUAUGGAAGUUCCUGAGCCCGGAUUGAAUCUGAGCCUCAGCUACAACUUACAUUGCAGCUGCGGCAAUGCUGGAUUCUUUAACCCACUGCACCAGGCUGGGGAUCAAACCGGUGCUUCUGCAGCAACCCGAGCUGCUGCAGUUGGAUACUUAGCCCACAGCACCACAGUGAGAACUCCUGGUAUCUCUUCAUUUGAAGAAGCAGAAACAGCUUCCAGAUUUCCGCCUGCAAGGAGAGAUCUUUACUUGCAGAAGGGGCUACUCUGGAGGGGCCGUGACCCCAGGUCUAAUGGUGGAGGUGUCAAGUGUAGGGGUGUGUGUCAGUGCUAGUUCUGGAGGGUGUGGUGGUGAUUCAUUGACUUCUGUCAUUGGGGUCUACAGCACUGACAACUGCAUGAUCCUUGGUUAGCACUGAAGGAGGUUCACAGAAGUCGAAAGGGCUGUUGGGAUCCUCAGUGGUGCCUCCAGGUCCAUCAGCUGGGGACCAGUAGUGGCCAGCCCCAGUAGUGGAUACCUGCCCGACUGCAGGGUCUAGCUGCAAACACACAUAGUGGUGGGGGCUAGGGUAGGCAGCAGGGGAUAGGGACGACUGUGGGUACAUAGACUGCUGCAGGGACUGUCAGCGUGCACAGUCUCCUUCUCAGUGUGUGCAUGGCAGUGGAGGUCAGUGAAGGGCAUCUGGCUGACAAUGUGCAGGUGCACAGCUGCAGAGGCUGGCCUUGAGUGCAUGCACAGUGGUGGGCAUCAGCCACGGGGUCUAGGCUGGUGUUCUGCACUAGGGCAGCCCCAGAGGACUGCGACGGCUCUGAGAAGGGGCAAGGUGGGGAGGAGUAGAGAGGGACUCAGGAAGCUAGCAACAGAAAGUGUGAAUAGGAGUUCCCAUUUUGGUUCAGUGGGUUAAAGAACCUGGCUAAUAUCCAUGGGGAUGCAGGUUCGAUCCCUGACCCCGCUGGGAUAAGGAUCCAGUAUUGCCAUGAACUGCUGUGUAGGUCACAGAUGUGGCUCCGAUCUGGCGUUGCAGUGCAGGCAGGUAGCUACACCUCCAAUUUGACCCCGAGCCUGAGAAGCUCCAUAUGCUUGCAGCUGUGGCCGUAACAAGCAAAAAAAAAAAAAGAGAGAGAGAGAGAAAGAAAAAGAAAAAAAGAACCUCAAUAGUAUCCAUGAGGAUGUGGGUUAGAUCCCGGGCCUCACUCAGUGAGUUAAGGACCUGAUGUUGCUGUGAGCUGCGGAUGUGGCUUGGAUCUGGCAUUGCUGUGGCUGUGAUGUGGGCCUGCAGCUACAGAGGGCCUGUGUUGACGGUGCCAGCUUUGGUUUCUUCAGUGGCCAAAGCUGCUGGGCUCAUCUGCAGAACAGGUUUCUGUGCACUGUAGUCAGUUUUUAUAAUCUUUAAUACUAAUCACCGGGGAGGCCCUCUGGUUCUGGCUUUUUGCUUUGUUGGAAGAUUUUUCAUGACUGAUUCCAUCUCUUCACUUGUCAUGGGUUUGAUCACAUUUUCUGUUUCAUCUUGAUUCAAUUGUGGUAGUUUGUUUAUUCUAGAAACGUAUCCCUUUCAUCCAGGGUACCUAAUCUGUACAGUUGUUUGUAGUAGUCUAUUUUAAUCUCUUUAUCUCUAAUGUCCACAUUUUCAUUUCUGCUUUUUAGGGCUGACUAUGCUCCAUGUUUUUUUUUUUUCUCUUUCUUUU